rnacentral:rRNA from 1 species
GAUGAACGCUAGCGGCAGGCUUAACACAUGCAAGUCGAGGGGUAACAGAAGGAGCUUGCUCUUUGCUGACGACCGGCGCACGGGUGCGUAACGCGUAUACAAUCUACCUUAUACAGGAGGAUAGCCCUAAGAAAUUGGGAUUAAUACUCCAUAGUAAUGUCUUACUGCAUGGUAAGAUGUUUAAAGUUUCGAUGGUAUAAGAUGAGUAUGCGUCCUAUUAGCUAGAUGGUAAGGUAACGGCUUACCAUGGCAACGAUAGGUAGGGGGCCUGAGAGGGUUAUCCCCCACACUGGUACUGAGACACGGACCAGACUCCUACGGGAGGCAGCAGUGAGGAAUAUUGGUCAAUGGAGGCAACUCUGAACCAGCCAUGCCGCGUGAAGGAAGAAUGUCCUAUGGAUUGUAAACUUCUUUUAUUUGGGAAGAAACCUAUCUACGUGUAGAUAGCUGACGGUACCAAACGAAUAAGGACCGGCUAACUCCG